rnacentral:rRNA from 1 species
AUUGAACGCUGGCGGCAUGCUUUACACAUGCAAGUCGAACGGUAACAGGCCGCAAGGUGCUGACGAGUGGCGAACGGGUGAGUAAUGCAUCGGAACGUGCCCAGUCGUGGGGGAUAACUGCUCGAAAGAGCAGCUAAUACCGCAUACGAUCUAUGGAUGAAAGCGGGGGACCGUAAGGCCUCGCGCGAUUGGAGCGGCCGAUGUCAGAUUAGGUAGUUGGUGGGGUAAAGGCUCACCAAGCCAACGAUCUGUAGCUGGUCUGAGAGGACGACCGGCCACACGGGGACUGAGACACGGCCCAGACUCCUACGGGAUGCAGCAGUGGGGAAUUUUGGACAAUGGGGGCAACCCUGAUCCAGCAAUGCCGCGUGCAGGAAGAAGGCCUUCGGGUUGUAAACUGCUUUUGUACGGAACGAAACGGUCUGGGUUAAUACCCUGGGCUAAUGACGGUACCGUAAGAAUAAGCACCGGCUAACUACGUGCCAGCAGCCGCCGCGGUAA